AAGCAACACUCCGUGGCAGAUGAUCAAAACUGUCUGACACAAUUUGAGCUUGCUGUAGCAACAAAAUCUAACCUAUUCCAGUGCUCUCUCCUCUCUGAGACAUGCCAUUGUACAGACUUAAAGAGU